GGAUUGUGGCACAGUGGUAGAGUGCUUGCCUAGCAUGUGUGAGGUACUGGGUUGGAUCCUCAGCACCA
rnacentral:tRNA from 1 species